rnacentral:rRNA from 1 species
AUGGGAACGCGAAGAACCUUACCUAGACUUGACAUCUCCUGAAUAACGUAGAGAUACGCGAAGCCCUUCGGGGCAGGGAGACAGGUGGUGCAUGGUUGUCGUCAGCUCGUGUCGUGAGAUGUUGGGUUAAGUCCCGCAACGAGCGCAACCCUUAUCAUUAGUUGCUACCAUUUAGUUGAGCACUCUAGUGAGACUGCCCGGGUUAACCGGGAGGAAGGCGGGGAUGACGUCAAAUCAUCAUGCCCCUUAUGUCUAGGGCUACACACGUGCUACAAUGGUGAGAACAACGAGAUGCAAUACCGCGAGGUGGAGCAAAACUUCAAAACUCAUCUCAGUUCGGAUUGUAGGCUGAAACUCGCCUACAUGAAGUUGGAGUUGCUAGUAAUCGCGAAUCAGAAUGCCGCGGUGAAUACGUUCCCGGGUCUUGUACACACCG